AUGCUGCUGCCCAGCGAUGUUGGGGUGCCCACGUUCUCCGGGUCCUCAAUCCAGUAGCCCCCAAACUGGGGCAGGAUGACCUGAGGAACCCGAACAUAAACCCUGCCAGCUGAUGAUGCAAUAGACGAAGGCGCUGAACUUCUCACCGCCCGUGAUACCAGCUCCUCAUCCUAGAAUGCCAAUUCCGGAAAACGACCCCUGGUCUCACCCAGCGCUCGUCUCUAGGCAAGGGGUCUGACCUCCAAGGCAUAAGCGGCACCCCUGCGCUUGGAAAUGGAACCUGAAGCUGAGAGCCGACUGCCCCCUGGAACCCAGGACAUAGCCUGACAGCCUCACGCUGUACAGGACAGGGAAGAGCCAGGCCACACGGCCAAGCCUGAGCUCCCACUGAGGCCUCCCCCAGUCUGCUCAGAAGCUGCCCUAAGGCAUGGAGCCAGGACCCCUUUGCUGCCCAUCCUGCACUAGGCUAACAAGGGCACAGUCACUCAGGGGCCGUGGCGAAGGUCAGAGUUAGAGGGUGUGAGACGGAAGACCCCAGCACCUGGCAGCUCCUCCUGCCUUCCUCUCGCCCUGGCCCCUCACCAGGGCCAUCUGGCCGCCCCCUCACCCACCCAGCCCACCUUGUUCUUCUGGGGUCCUGGCUUCUGCUCUUCAAGCUUGAUCCCCUAGAGAAACAAGGAAAACAGAAUCCACAGAAAAGCAAAGGUCAGAAGAAAGGGCGGGAGGAAGAGCACCUGGCCUCGCAGGGGUUAGUAACAGGAGCGGAGCCACAGCUGGCCCGUGCUGGGCUGGCACACCCCACACCUGGCCGCUGUUGGCCUCACAGCAGCCUCAGGUGAGGCGGCAGGGCCGCUGGGCUGACGGCACAGACUUGAGCCAGAUCACCAGGGUUCAAAUCCCAACACUGCCUCCUAUCAGCCUGAUGACCUUGGCGAGCCGCAGAAACCUCUCUGUGACUCAGUGUUCUCAUCCGUGAAAUGGGAAUGAUGGUGGUGUCCACUAUGGUGGUGAGGGUUCAGUCUUAACAAUGCGCUCAGCACUUGGAACGCUGAUUGCUGUAUAAUAAAUGCUGUGGGUCGUUAU